rnacentral:rRNA from 1 species
GAUAUGGCUCAGAACGAACGCUGGUGGCGUGUCUAUACAUGCAAGUCGAGCGAGGCAGCAAUGCCGAGCGGCGAACGGGUGAGUAACGCGUAAGCAAUCUGCCCCAUAUCAGGAAAUACCCGUGGCCAACGCGCGGUUAAUGUCCAGGAGAGUGGCCUUCCGCAUGGAGGGUUGACUAGAGAUUUAUCGGUAUGGGAUGAGCUUGCGUCCGAUUAGCUAGUUGGCGGGGCAACGGCCCACCAAGGCGACGAUCGGUAGCCGGCCUGAGAGGGUGAUCGGCCACAUUGGGACUGAGAUACGGCCCAGACUCCUACGGGAGGCAGCAGUAGGGAAUAUUGCACAAUGGGGGAAACCCUGAUGCAGCAACGCCACGUGUGGGAAGAAGCAUUUCGGUGUGUAAACCACUGUCAUGAGGGAAUAAGGCCCGCCUUCGGACGGGAUUGAAUGUACCUUGAGAGGAAGCACCGGCAAACUUCGUGCCAGCCGCCGC